CAGAACGAACGCUGGCGGCGCGUCUUAAGCAUGCAAGUCGAACGGCAAGAGGUAGCAAUACCUCCUAGAGUGGCGGACUGGUGAGUAACACGUGGGUGACAUACCCUUCAGAUGGGGAUAGCUAUUAGAAAUAGUAGAUAAUACCGAAUACGAGCACAGGGGGUUAGAGAUCUGUGAGGGAAAGGAGCUAAGGCUCCGCUGAAGGAAUGGCCUGCGGCCCAUUAGCUAGUUGGUGAGGUAAGAGCCCACCAAGGCGAUGAUGGGUAUCCGGCCUUAGAGGGUGAACGGACACAUUGGGACUGAGAUACGGCCCAGACUCCUACGGGAGGCAGCAGCUAAGAAUAUUCCGCAAUGGACGAAAGUCUGACGGAGCGACGCCGCGUGGAUGAAGAAGGCCGGAAGGUUGUAAAAUCCUUUUGAAACUGAAGAAUAAGCGUUGUAGGGAAUGACAGCGUGGUGACAGUAGGUUUUGAAUAAGCAACGGCUAAUUACGUGCCAGCAGCAGC
rnacentral:rRNA from 1 species